UAUUAGUUUGGUGCAAAAGUAAUUGCGGUUUUUGCCAUGGCAAAACCAUUAAUGGCCAAACUGCAAUUACUUCUGCACCAACCUA
rnacentral:miRNA from 1 species